rnacentral:rRNA from 1 species
UACGAAGGGGGCUAGCGUUGCUCGGAAUUACUGGGCGUAAAGGGAGCGUAGGCGGGUUAUCAAGUUGGAGGUGAAAGCCCAGGGCUCAACCUUGGAAUUGCCUUCAAAACUGAUAACCUAGAGGAUAGAAGAGGUAAGUGGAACUCCGAGUGUAGAGGUGAAAUUCGUAGAUAUUCGGAAGAACACCAGUGGCGAAGGCGACUUACUGGUCUAUUACUGACGCUGAGGCUCGAAAGCGUGGGGAGCAAAC